rnacentral:tRNA from 2 species
CGGGGCGUGGCUCAGUCCGGCUAGAGCAUCUGGUUUGGGACCAGAGGGUCCCCAGUUCAAAUCUGGGCGCCCCGA